rnacentral:rRNA from 1 species
CCCUUAGACGUUCUGGGCCGCACGCGCGCUACACUGACCAGUGCAACAAGCAUCCGUCCUUGGCCGACAGGCCCGGGCAAUCUUUGAACGCUGGUCGUGAUGGGGAUAGACUUUUGCAAUUUUUGGUCUUCAACGAGGAAUUCCUAGUAAACGCAAGUCAUCAACUUGCAUUGAUUACGUCCCUGCCCUUUGUACACACCGCCCGUCGCACCUACCGAUUGAAUGGUCCGGUGAAUUCUUCGGACUGUGGCUUUGGAUCGGUUUCGGCCGAGACGCUGCCGUGGGAAGUUGUUUAAACCUUACCAUUUAGAGGAAGGUGAAGUCGUAACA